rnacentral:rRNA from 1 species
UACGUAGGGGGCGAGCGUUGUCCGGAUUUAUUGGGCGUAAAGAGCGUGUAGGCGGCCAGGUAGGUCUGCUGUGAAAACUCGAGGCUCAACCUCGAGACAUCGGCGGAAACCAUCUGGCUAGAGUCCGGAAGAGGAGAGUGGAAUUCCUGGUGUAGCGGUGAAAUGCGCAGAUAUCAGGAGGAACACCAAUAGCGAAGGCAGCUCGCUGGGACGGUACUGACGCUAAGGCGCGAAAGCGUGGGGAGCGAACAGG